rnacentral:rRNA from 1 species
GACGAACGCUGGCGGCGUGCUUAACACAUGCAAGUCGAACGGAAAGGCCCUGCUUUUGUGGGGUGCUCGAGUGGCGAACGGGUGAGUAACACGUGAGUAACCUGCCCUUGACUUUGGGAUAACUUCAGGAAACUGGGGCUAAUACCGGAUAGGAGCUCCUGCUGCAUGGUGGGGGUUGGAAAGUUUCGGCGGUUGGGGAUGGACUCGCGGCUUAUCAGCUUGUUGGUGGGGUAGUGGCUUACCAAGGCUUUGACGGGUAGCCGGCCUGAGAGGGUGACCGGGCCCCAUGGGGACUGAGAACGGGCCAAGACCCCACGGGGGGGCAGAGGGGGGAAAUAUGGCAAAGGGGGGGGAGGCUGGAGGCGGCACCGCCGGGUGGGGAAGGACGGCUUGGGGGUGUAAACCCGUUUGCGCCUGGAAGGAGGGGGGGGGGAGGGUAAGGGAUAAGAAAGCCCGGGCUAACUAGGUG